rnacentral:tRNA from 1 species
GGGCUGUUAGCUCAGCUGGUUCAGAGCGCUACUUUCACACAGUAGAGGUCAGAGGUUCGAAUCCUCUACAGCCCACAA